rnacentral:rRNA from 1 species
AUACGGAGGAUCCGAGCGUUAUCCGGAUUUAUUGGGUUUAAAGGGAGCGUAGGCGGGAGAUCAAGUCAGCUGUGAAAUGUAGAUGCUCAACAUCUGCACUGCAGUUGAAACUGGUUUUCUUGAGUGCGUAAGGGGCAGGCGGAAUUCGUCGUGUAGCGGUGAAAUGCUUAGAUAUGACGAAGAACUCCGAUCGCGAAGGCAGCCUGCGGGGCCGCGACUGACGCUGAAGCUCGAAGGUGCGGGUAUCGAACAGGAUUAGAUACCCUGGUAGUCCGCACAGUAAACGAUGGAUACUCGCUGUCGGCGAUAUACGGUCGGUGGCCAAGCGAAAGCGUUAAGUAUCCCACCUGGGGAGUACGCCGGCAACGGUGAAACUCAAAGGAAUUGACGGGG